AAUAGCACUUAAUGUUUUAUCAAAAGAGAUAAAUAUACACUUAUACUCCAAUGGUAAAUUAAUUUAGACAUUAGGGUUUAGAGUCAAGCGGCUGAGUUUAGGAUUUAGAGUUUAGGGUUUAGGGUUCAGAGUUUAGGGUUUAGGGUUUAGAGUUUAGUGGUGGGGUUUAGGGUUUAGAAUUAAGGGGUGGAGUUUAGGAUUUAGGGUUUAGGGUUUAGGAUUUAGGGUUUAGAGUUGGAGAGUGGGUUUUUGGGAUAAGAUUUCAAAUUUUGAAAAAUAAAAAAAAAAUUAAAUUUUUCAAAAGAUAAAAUGCUAUUUUGGUCAUUUUAU
rnacentral:lncRNA from 1 species